rnacentral:rRNA from 1 species
AUACGGAGGGUGCAAGCGUUAAUCGGAAUUACUGGGCGUAAAGCGCGCGUAGGCGGUUUAGUAAGUCGGAUGUGAAAGCCCUGGGCUCAACCUGGGAAUUGCAUUCGAUACUGCUUGACUAGAGUAUGGUAGAGGGAAGUGGAAUUUCCGGUGUAGCGGUGAAAUGCGUAGAUAUCGGAAGGAACACCAGUGGCGAAGGCGACUUCCUGGGCCAAAACUGACGCUGAGGUGCGAAAGCGUGGGGAGCAAACAGGAUUAGAAACCCCGGUAGUCC